UAUAUACUCCCUCCGUCCGAAAAAGCUUGCCCCUCAAAUGGAUGUAUCUAGCAUCAAGUUAGUGCUAGAUACAUCCAUUUGAGGGACAGGCUUUUUCGGACGGAGGGAGUAUAUG
rnacentral:pre_miRNA from 1 species